rnacentral:lncRNA from 1 species
GCAGUAAAGGAAUCAACUUUGAGAGCUACUGAGUUUUGGUUCUCUCAUCAGGUGUAUUUACGUUAUUGGCAACAUUACCAUCAUGUCAUGGCUUGGAUGCAAAGCCACCAGAAUGCCUGUAGGAAGGCUGUGGAAUCCUAUUUCAGUAUUCCAUGGUCAUUUCCUCCUGCAGUUCUUCCCUGAAGAGCUUACGAUAACCAGGCUGGAUAUCCUAUGUCCUUCUCUGACCAUCACAUGGCCUGGCAGGACUCCUACCUCCGUUCUACAGAUUUCAGAAGGUCUGGACAGCAUCCACAUGACAGCAGUAGGAUCCAGGCAUCCACAAGAGAAGACCAAGCUUAGCCUAAAGAGGAGGAGAUGGAGAGAAAGUCAGAUGGGGUGGUAGAAUGCGACCUAAGCAAUAUGGAAGUCACCCAGGACCUCUGCCAGUACUUUGCAGAGACCCAGAGGCACAGAGAAGACCAAUGGUAGCAGCAGCAGCUGGAUGCAGAAUACCUGGAUGACUACAUGAACGCUGACCACGACCUGUACUACAACAUCUACUGGUCAGUGGAGCCCCUGACUAAGAGGCCCAGUGAGCAGCAACAGACUGAGAAUAAAACAUUUGUUUGGGAGAGUGCCACCAAGAUCGAGGCCAUGGAGGCUGAAGUGCAGCUGAGCUUUGACAAGCACUGUGACAGAAAAGCAGCCCAAGUAUUGGCUGGUCAUCACCCUGAAGUU